UAAAACGCGGACACCCACCAGACGCGUCAGCAGCGGAGGAUGGAACGAUGGAACGCCGGCUACCGCAUCCUAAUGCUGGGCAAACUUAGCAGUGAUGAAGGGGGGCUCUGGAGGUGCGAGGAAAAUGUGUUUUUUCAAGUUGGAGCUACAUCUUCCAUACUAAAAAAACAUCCCUGAAGGCUGAGUGUGGAGAUCAGGUGAACAAAACCAGAGUGGUGAGGCACAGAGGGUGGACAAAAUAACAGGAACACCUUGACAAUGGACUCCAAGCCAGCAGGACUCAAACUGUGAUCUGAAAAAUGACUAGACAUUUAAUUAAACUCUUCGUUGA